ACUGAGCUCUGGGCUAGGAGGCAGUGAUUCACUGGAAAGAUCAGAGCCUGUCUGAGAAACAGGGCAGUAAACAGAAAGCUCAGUGAUGUAUGAGUGCUGAAGACUUUUUUGUUAAGAUGCACAGCAGGAGGAAGACAGAGAAUCUAGGAAGGUGCCAGGGAUGAUUUCUCAUCCCAAAGCCCUGGGAGAAAUCCCAUCUCUGGGCAAGAAGAGAAUCUGAACACAAAUGGAUGAAGAUGCUAAUGAGGUUCAGAUGAUGAGAGCACACCAGGCUCACAGCAUGCUGACAAAUCCAGAAACAGG
rnacentral:lncRNA from 1 species